GUCACAGCCACAAUAUGAGCCGCCGACUGGUCUCACAUCUUCACCUCUCGGCCAAAAUUCUUCCACAGUGAGGCAACGGCCUGAGGAGGCCAACAAUUGGAGACUGCCUGGGUGUCAAACAUCAAGAGCUCAUAGCUCAGGACGUUUAAUACCCUCCCAGUGCACCCCCACUGAACGAUGCAUCCUUGAGGCCAUUGGUGAGGUGCAGCUGCAACUGCAGCAAUAAACUGGAGAGAGGGGCAGAAAUCUUCCAACACCACUGGAAGAGGAUCUGGAAGAAAAUGUACUUCCCCUCCAGUGUGCAGAGGAUUUUGAGGGCCUAGAAAAAGAU